CGACGAGAGAAAAGUUACGACCGCUAACCUGCAGAAUAUCCUAAUUCACUCUUCCCGCGCGGGUAAAAAAGUCGUAAAAAUACAUUUGAAAGAUUGAGCUGUUCAUCAAUAAAAAAAACUCGACCAAAGUUUUUCGUUGUAAAUUCUUCAAUCCUUGCGUUACUAUGCCACGAACAGUAUUUGUCGGAUUCGGGGGAAGAAGUGGCAUCACGAAGGGGGACAUUGAAGAGUUCGUGAAAUCGAAGGGAUUUUCCUCCAGAUUCACCGUGGUCCUUCCAAGGGAGCCAACUUUUUCGGACCGAGAACCAUCCACCUUUAAAGGAUUUUGUUUCAUUCGACUUGGCCGGAAUGAAGACGUCGACUCGCUGAUUUCCGCUCUGAACGGGGAGGUCCUCAAGGGACGAAAACUUGGAACGGGGGUCAAACGAAAUGUCAAAUGCGUAUUCCGAAAGUGGAGAAGAGUCGGGCAGUGAUGUCAACAGUUAUGAUUCUGAUUAAUGAUGAUGGUUAAAGAUUAAUAAAAUGUGAGAUUCAUAAUUCAUUCAUUAAAUUCAUUAAAUUCAGUCAUUCUAUUUCAA